GUCCACUUGGUGUUCACAUUCAAACCAACCAGAGUUCACUUCAACCGAACCCAGACGAGCUUUGGAGGACCAGAGGUCAGAGGUCGAUUAGCGUUCAACCUCAGCAACUGGACCCGACUUUAUGGGCAAACAGACUGCAGUUCGUGUAAAGAGAGUAAACAGGGCUGGUGGAAAUGAAUCUUCAGUGUAAGAAGUUUUGGCUUGCAGCAUUCAGUCCUCCUGACCAGCAAGGGGCGACAGUGGAGAGGAAAAACUCCCCUUUAAGAGGAAGAAACCUGCAGCAGAACCAGAACCAGGAUGUUUAACAAUAACACCUUUUAUUUAUUUUUACUUCAAGGUCACCUUACAUUAUUCAACACAAAAGACGCAAAAUUGAAAUACAUGAUAAAAAGUAAAGUACAAAAUGACUAAAAGACCUUAAAAAAUGAGCCACUCACCGGAGGCAAUGAAGUAUGAAUGGAUGAAUGAAUGGAUGAAUGAAUGGAUGAAUGGAUGAAUGGUUUGAGAAAACCGAAGUGGUAGGAAAUGCAACAUGGCCGUUCAGGCUGCGAUUUGAAAACUACCGGAUCAGACAUGGUUCCACAUCUGGAAGUGGAACAGAUCUGAUGUUUUUGGGGUGAAAUCAUUGGAAUCGGAUUUCUGUGAUUCCAGGGGGAAGUCGGUGCAGAUCGCCUGUUGACGUAGCCUAAUGCUAGCUGAACGCGGAGCCAUUUCUGGUCAUUCUGAGCCGGUUUCACACUCGUCUGCCUCACCGUGCGCCGGACGUGGAGCGUCUUUACUGUCACACGAAGAUGAAACCAGUUUGAUUUCUGGACGCCCCUCCUCUGGGUAUCGCCCUGUUGACGCCACCAUAAACCAAACCCACCGGUUUUGAAACGUCCGAUCUGGACGGGAUGUUUCUGAUUUCUGACAUUCUGACAGAAAACCUCCUGCAGGUCGUUCCUCAGCUUCAUCUUCUGUUUUAUCGAGGAGAAUUUGAAACUUGCUGUCAGCGUUUCGUUCUGCUUCUCUUCACAGCAAAUUAAACUUAACGCUUUAUUAUUUGAAUAAUCUGCAUGUUGGAGUGACUCAGAGUCUGAAACAUCUUACGCAUCACAGUGAGGAGCGAUGAUGUCAUCACUCUCCCAUCAAGCCCCCAUGUCUGGGGGUGUGUGUGUGUGGGUGUGUGUGUGUGUGUUGAUGCCAGCGGGUCCCUAGUGACGGCAGCUCACUGCUAAUGUGUCGCCACGGCAACCACCUGCUGUUAAUGUGCUGUUUAUUAGCAGAGACGAUGAAGACGCUGAAGAUGGAAAUGUUUGACGACUUUACGAUCUCUGGCUGGAAUCUGUUCAUUCAUCGAUCAAUGAACAAUAAAAUCUGUUUUACUUUCAAACAAAAAGUUUUUUAAAAUCAGACUCAAUAAGGAGAAGAUUUAGAUCACAAAUCCGUUUCAAAUCAAACCUACAGAAAAGUUUAGCUUAGCGAGUUGUCAGCCGUAACAAAUCUAAAAAUCAUUUUCAUUUGGAAUAGAUGCAGUUGAACUGAGUUCAUUUUCUGAAUCGUUGCAGAACUGAAAGUCUGGCAGAUUUGCUGGUCCAGUUGCCGACCACGCAUAUGCUGGACAUGAACCGUUUAGAUUUUAACCAACAUCAAGCGUCUGUCAUUCGGACAGAAAUGAUCUGAGUGGAUAUUCUUUGAACCACAUGAUGUGAUCUAUGAAGAGCUGGUAACUGCUCAUAAAGUUUUCACAAGGAAAAUCUGAAAAGUGUGGCAUGCAUCAGCAGGAAACCUGUCUGAGUCGGAACGCUGCAGGUUUGUUGAACAUCUCCAAACUUUGUAAAACGGCUCAACCUCAGACUGGAUGGAUGGUUUUCAGGUUUUACCACAGAGUUCGGUUGGAUUAAGACCCGGACUUUGACUAGGCCAUUCUAACCCAUGAAUCUGCUUUGAUCUAAACCAUCCGUUGUUUUCCUGUCAACUCAGACCAGCUUCCCUGAUCCUGCUGGAUAAACUUAUCCCCACAGCAUGAUGGUGCCACUACCUUUAUUUAAACAAAGGAGAGGGCGAUGCUAACUGUUAGCCGACAGAGAAAACCUGCUGCAUGAUGAACUGCAAGCAGGACUGAAGCUUUAACUCGAUAAUCAGCUGGUUUCUCAUGAAAAUCAAGAAAAAACUGAUGGAUUUCCUCCAACAAGUUUAUUCUUAUUUUGUUGCAGAAAAAUAAAGUUUCUUGGCAACAGUUACUUUAUUUAAUUUGAUUGACAACAUCUGGUGAGGGACGUUUAAGCAGUAGCCUAAAUAUUUAGCUCUGUAUUAAGCUGAUCUCCAAACUAAAUAUUUAAUUAGCUCUCGGUUUGGUACAUUUAAUGUUGCAAACUAAAUGUUUAUUUUGGAAUAACAUAUUUAGAUUAACACAACAUUUUUGCUUGAUAAACUUUAGGCUUCAGACUAAAUAUUUAACUGACUGACUUAAAAGUAACAUUUUAACAACUAUAGACAAAUGAAUGAAUGAAUGAAUGAAUGACAGUGUAAAUACAGUAUGACACUGUAAAAUGAUUUGCUUCCUGACUGAAUAAACUCCAUUAUUUCUGCUAACUGGUGGCGGCAGCUUUCCAGUCCAGGAUCCCAGUUCCAGUUGGAUCCCAGUUCCAGUUGGAUCCUGAACCAGUCCUCGUCUCGCCGCCUCACUCUGAGCCUCGUUCGUUGAACCUUUCAUUCCAUGUAAAGUCUGUUGUGUUUUGAAGUGUGUGGUUGAUGUGAAUGUGGUUGUUUGUCACGUCGGUGAGGCGGUGAGUCCUGAUCCGGCGGCGCUGCAGCAGGAAGUGUGGGAUUCCCUGAUGUCACUUCCAGCAGAAGUUUUGUGGCCUGGAAGCCUUUGAAGUGUGUGUGUGUGUGUGUGUGUGCGUGUGUGUGUGUGUGGGUGUGUGUGUGUGUGUGUGUGUGUGUGUGUGUGUGUGUGUGGAGUGGGCGGCUCUCCGCCGUGUUUAAUGGAGAUAUCAGUGAGUGCUAAUGAAGUCUGCUAAUCCUCUGAACGCUCCGUUAAUCCCCCCCACAUUCUGCCGUUGUCUUUGAGCGCCGCGGCGGCUGAUAGCUUUUCUGCUUUUAUUGUCUAAUUUAAGGAGGAUGAGGACUAAUGGACUUCUGUUUAACUUUAACUCGGCGUUCCUUCAUCGCCCUGCAGCUGCCAAUCAGCCGCACCGAGUCAUGUGACCCUCAGGGGGGGAGCAGGCCGCAUAAGAGCAGCAGCAGCAGAACCAGCAGCUCAGAACCAGAGCCAGCACCAGGACCAGCAGGAGAAACCCGACCAGAACCCAGUAUGCAUCACGCUCGCUGUCCCACCAUCUUGGUCCUCGCCGCGCUGGCCGCGCUCAGUCUGGGCGUUUCGUCUCAGGCUGACAGAGACCAGGACCCCUACCAGAACCAGAACCUGGACCUGGACCUGGAGCUGCGUCACCACCGGCUGCUGCAGCGAGCCCGCAGCGCCGGACUGCUCUCGCAGGACUGGUCCAAGCGGGCCGUGGAGGACCUGCUGGCCCAGAUGUCGAGGUCAGAGGUCGAGGCCCAGCAGGACGGUCCGGAGGCGGCUUCCAGAGGAACCGGCUCCAGACUGAACCUGGAGCGGUCCGUCGAAACCACCGCCCGCGAACGCAAAGCCGGCUGCAAGAACUUCUACUGGAAGGGCCUGACUUCCUGUUGAGGCAGGAAACAGGUAACUGACUUCCUGUUGAGGCAGGAAGCAGGUAACUGACUUCCUGUUGAGGCAGGAAGCAGGUAACUGACUUCCUGUUGAGGCAGGAAGCAGCUGAGGCCACACCCCUCUGGAACCAAACGACCAAUCACCUGCAGGAACAGCUGAACCGACCAAUCAGCAGUCUUGCCAGAGUAAUUAUUGUAAUUGUCCAAUAAAGAACGAACUCAA